UAAAUAAAAAGACUACUGUGAUAUCAACGUGUUUUCAGUACUGUUACUACUGUGAUAUCAACGUGCUUUCAGUACUAUUACUACUGAUAUCAACGUGUUUUCAGUACUGUGUUGCUACAGUGAUAUCAACGUGUUUUCAGUACUGUGUUGCUACAGUGAUAUCAACGUGUUUUCAGUACUGUUACUACUGAUAUCAACGUGUUUUCAGUACUGUGUUGCUACAGUGAUAUCAACGUGUUUUCAGUACUGUUACUACUGAUAUCAACGUGCUUUCAGUACUGUGUUGCUACAGUGAUAUCAACGUGUUUUCAGUACUGUUACUAUGAUAUCAACGUGUUUUCAGUACUGUUACUACUGUGAUAUCAACGUGUUUUCAGUACUGUUACUACUGUGAUAUCAACGUGUUUUCAGUACUGUUACUACUGUGAUAUCAACGUGUUUUCAGUACUGUUACUACUGUGAUAUCAACGUGUUUUCAGUACUGUUACUACUGAUAUCAACGUAUUAUCAGUACCGUGUUGCUACAGUGACGUCAACGUGUUUUCAGUACCGUGUUGCUACAGUGACGUCAACGUAUUAUCAGUACCGCGUUGCUACAGUGACGUCAACGUAUUAUCAGUACCGUGUUGCUACAGUGACGUCAACGUAUUAUCAGUACCGCGUUGCUACAGUGACGUCAACGUAUUAUCAGUACCGUGUUGCUACAGUGACGUCAACGUAUUAUCAGUAUAGUGUUACUACAGUGACGUCAACGUAUUAUCAGUACCGUGUUGCUACAGUGACGUCAACGUAUUAUCAGUACCGUGUUACUACAGUGACGUCAACGUAUUAUCAGUACCGUGUUGCUACAGUGACGUCAACGUAUUAUCAGUACCGUGUUGCUACAGUGACGUCAACGUAUUAUCAGUAGUGUUACUACUGAUAUCAACGUGUUAUCAGUACCGCGUUGCUACAGUGACGUCAACGUAUUAUCAGUACCGCGUUGCUACAGUGACGUCAACGUAUUAUCAGUACCGUGUUGCUACAGUGACGUCAACGUAUUAUCAGUACCGUGUUGCUAUAGUGACAUCAACGUAUUAUCAGUACCGUGUUGCUAUAGUGACAUCAACGUAUUAUCAGUACCGUGUUGCUACAGUGACGUCAACGUGUUAUCAGUACCGCGUUGCUACAGUGACGUCAACGUGUUAUCAGUACCGUGUUAACAUGCUCCCUGUGUCUACGAAAGGUUCAUUCAAUGUUUGUG